rnacentral:rRNA from 1 species
CCUACGGGAGGCAGCAGUGAGGAAUAUUGGUCAAUGGGCGCGAGCCUGAACCAGCCAAGUCGCGUGAAGGAUGACUGCCCUACGGGUUGUAAACUUCUUUUAUAAAGGAAUAAGGUGAGCCACGUGUGCCUUUUAGUAUGUACUUUGUGAAUAAGGAUCGGCUAACUCCGUGCCAGCAGCCGCGGUAAUAAGGAGGAUCCGGACGUUAUCCGGAUUUAUUGGGUUUAAAGGGAUGCUAGAGGGGUUGGUAAGUCAGUUGUGAAAGUUUGGGGCUCAACCGUAAAAUUGCAAUUGAUACUGGCAGUCUUGAGUACAGUUGAGGUAGGCGGAAUGCGUGGUGUAGCGGUGAAAUGCUUAGAUAUCACGAAGAACUCCGAUUGCGAAGGCAGCUUACUAAACUGCCACUGACAUUGAUGCUCGAAAGUGUGGGUAUCAAACAGGAUUAGAUACCCCAGUAGUC